GAUGAACUGUGGGUAGCGGAGAAAUUCCAAUCGAACCCGGAGAUAGCUGGUUCUCCCCGAAAUAGUUUUAGGACUAGCCUCAAGUUAGAUACCUGGAGGUAAAGCACUGAAUAGCCUAGCGGCCGAGAGGUUAGCGAAGCUUAUCAAACUCAGAAUGCCAGAGUAUUGAUGCUUGGGAGUCAGACAGUGUCAGAUAAAUGUCAUUGUCAAAAGGGAAACAGCCCAGAUCUACAGCUAAGGUCCCAAAGUCAGGUUAAGUGGAAAACGAUGUGAAGAUACGCAGACAACCAGGAUGUUGGCUCAGAAGCAGCCACUCAUUCAAAGAGUGCGUAAUAGCUCACUGGUCGAGCGUCUUUGCGCGGAGAAUUUAACGGGGCUAAACCUGACACCGAAGCUUAGGCAAUACAGCAAUGUAUUGGGUAGGGGAGCGUUGUAUACGCGGAGAAACAGUAGCGCAAGCGGCUGUGGAGUGUAUAGAAGUGAGAAUGCCGGAAUGAGUAGCGCGAAUGCAGUGAGAAUCUGCAUGGCCGAAAGCCUCAGGUUUCUGGAGGAAGGUUCGUCCGCUCCAGGUUAGUCGGGAGCUAAGGUGAGGCCUAACGGCGUAGCCGAUGCACAGACGGUAGAGAUUCCGUCACCACCAAAAGAGUUAAACACAGGGACACAUAUGAAGUCUCGGAGCCGGGUGUUGGUUCCGGUAGCGAUCGAGGGAAGUUAGUACCGAAGUCCGAGAUGGAAGAUGGCGAGAAAAGCUGUGUGUAUUUCUGCGGUGCCCGUACCGCAAACCGACACAGGUAGGUAGGAAGAAGAUUCUAAGGCCAACGGGAGAAGGGUUGUUAAGGAACUCGGCAAAUUGACCCCGUAACUUCGGGAGAAGGGGUGCUCCAGAGAUGGAGCCGCAGAGAAUCGGCCCAAGCAACUGUUUACCAAAAACACAGGUUUGUGCUAAAUCGAAAGAUGACGUAUACGAGCUGACGCCUGCCCGGUGCUGGAAGGUUAAAAGGAGAUGUGCAAGCAUUGAAUUGAAGCCCCAGUGAACGGCGGCCGUAACUAUAACGGUCCUAAGGUAGCGAAAUUCCUUGUCAGGUAAGUUCUGACCCGCACGAAAGGCGUAAUGAUUUGGGCACUGUCUCAACAGCCCGCCCGGCGAAAUUGUAGUACCGGUGAAGAUGCCGGUUACCCGCGACAAGACGGAAAGACCCCAUGGAGCUUUACUGUAGCCUAAUAUUGGGUUUCGAUGUUGCAUGCACAGGAUAGAUGGGACUCUGGGAAACCAAGGCUUUGGCUUUGGCGGAGAGGCCGUUGGGAUACCAUCCUUGCGAUAUUGGAAUUCUAACCUGCGGCUCUGAAUCGAGUCGGGGGACAUUGUUAGGUGGGCAGUUUGACUGGGGCGGUCGCCUCCUAAAGAGUAACGGAGGCGUUCAAAGGUUCGCUCAGCUUGAACGGAAAUCAAGCAAAAGAGUGCAAACGCAGAAGCGAGCCUAACUGCGAGACUGACGGGUCGAGCAGUAACGAAAGUUGGAGUUAGUGAUCCGGUGGUAUGUGAGUGGAAAUGCCAUCGCUCAACGGAUAAAAGCUACCCUGGGGAUAACAGGCUGAUCUCCCCCAAGAGUCCACAUCGACGGGGAGGUUUGGCACCUCGAUGUCGGCUCAUCGCAUCCUGGGGCUGUAUUCGGUCCCAAGGGUUUGGCUGUUCGCCAAUUAAAGCGGUACGCGAGCUGGGUUCAGAACGUCGUGAGACAGUUCGGUCCCUAUCUGUCGUGGGCGCAGGAUAUUUGAUGGGAGCUGUUCCUAGUACGAGAGGACCGGAGCGGACGUACCUCUGGCGCACCAGUUGUUCUGCCAAGAGCAUAGCUGGGCAACUAUGUACGGAUCGGAUAAACGCUGAAAGCAUCUAAGCGUGAAGCCGACCCAAAGAUAAGAUAUCCCACUGAUU
rnacentral:rRNA from 1 species